UGGGGAAUAUUGCACAAUGGGCGAAAGCCUGAUGCAGCAACGCCGCGUGAGUGAUGAAGGUCUUCGGAUUGUAAAGCUCUGUCUUUUGGGACGAUAAUGACGGUACCAAAGGAGGAAGCCACGGCUAACUACGUGCCAGCAGCCGCGGUAAUACGUAGGUGGCGAGCGUUGUCCGGAUUUACUGGGCGUAAAGGGUGCGUAGGCGGAUGUUUAAGUGAGAUGUGAAAUACCCGGGCUUAACUUGGGUGCUGCAUUUCAAACUGGAUAUCUAGAGUGCAGGAGAGGAGAAUGGAAUUCCCAGUGUAGCGGUGAAAUGCGUAGAGAUUAGGAAGAACACCAGUGGCGAAGGCGAUUCUCUGGACUGUAACUGACGCUGAGGCACGAAAGCGUGGGUAGCAAACAGGAUUAGAUACCCUGGUAGUCCACGCCGUAAACGAUGAGUACUAGGUGUAGGAGGUAUCGACCCCUUCUGUGCCGCAGUAAACACAUUAAGUACUCCGCCUGGGAAGUACGAUCGCAAGAUUAAAACUCUAAAGUGAAUUGAC
rnacentral:rRNA from 1 species